UACGGGGGGGAGCAAGCGUUGUUCGGAUUUACUGGGCGUAAAGGGCGCGUAGGCGGCCAGCACAAGUCAGUUGUGAAAUCUCCGAGCUUAACUCGGAAAGGUCAACUGAUACUGUGCGGCUAGAGUGCGGAAGGGGCAACUGGAAUUCUUGGUGUAGCGGUGAAAUGCGCAGAUAUCAGGAAGAACACCCGUGGCGAAGGCGGCUCUCUGGUACGUGACUGACGCUGAGACGCGAAAGCGUGGGGAGCGAACAGG
rnacentral:rRNA from 1 species